rnacentral:lncRNA from 1 species
AUAAAACCUAAAAUAGCACUAACAUAGUAAAAGCAGGAAUGAUAUGAUAAAUACACAUCCUAUAUAAAAUAGAAAUAAAGUAUAUUCAAUGUAAUUUCACUUACAGUGCCACUUGUGUUUUCAGUCAAGCUGCCAUAUUGCAUGAGAUAUACUAUAUUUGGUGAUGAUAACUUUUAGAAAUCAUCACAAGCUAGUCAAUACUCAGGAUGGGAUUAAUUGGAAAGUUGAAGGAGGAGGUUCAAUGGCCUGGCACCGGAAUCCUUCUGGAAAACUGAAUGUGUGGGAUUCAGAACUGAACCUGGUUCUCUGGGAUAGUAUGCUACUUCAUUACUAUGCGGCUAUCUAGCUAACUUCUUUUUUCAUAAAAGUGAAAAUCUUCUUUGGAUUUCUUUUAGUUAGCAAAAAUAGAUAAUGUAGGUCUUUCAUAAAAUUUGAAAUGGUACUAAAGAACUUUUAUAAAGUGAGGAAACUUAUAUUGGUUUUAAUAAGACAGAUAAUCUCACUUUUUAAUGUUGUUAGUUAACUGUAAUAUAUGGUGCUAAUUUAUUCUAAUACAAUGCAAUAAACUAACAUUAUAG